rnacentral:rRNA from 1 species
AUCUGGCUCUUCCGGAGUCCGAGUUGUAAUUUGUAGAAGAUGCUUUGGGUUGUGGGUUCGGCCUAAGUUCCUUGGAACAGGACGUCAUAGAGGGUGAGAAUCCCGUAUGUGGCCGAGGCCCGCGCCUAUGUAAAGCUCUUUCAACGAGUCGAGUUGUUUGGGAAUGCAGCUCAAAAUGGGUGGUAAAUUUCAUCUAAAGCUAAAUAUGGGCCAGAGACCGAUAGCGCACAAGUAGAGUGAUCGAAAGAUGAAAAGCACUUUGGAAAGAGAGUUAAACAGUACGUGAAAUUGUUGAAAGGGAAGCGCUUGCAACCAGACUUGGGCGCUGCCGAUCACCUUGAGUUUUCUCGAGUGCACUCGACAGCGCACAGGCCAGCAUCGGUUCGGGUGGCUGGAUAAAGGCCGUAGGAAUGUGGCUCUCUUCGGGGAGUGUUAUAGCCUACGGUGCCAUGCAGCCCAGCCGGACCGAGGACCGCGCCUUCGGGCUAGGAUGCUGGCGUAAUGGUUGUAAGCGACCCGUCUUGAAACACGGACCAAGGAGUCUAACAUCUAUGCGAGUGUUUGGGUGGUAAACCCAUACGCGGAAUGAAAGUGAACGUAGGUGAGAACCCCUUUGGGGCGCAUCAUCGACCGAUCCUGAUGUCUUCGGAUGGAUUUGAGUAAGAGCAUAGCUGUUGGGACCCGAAAGAUGGUGAACUAUGCCUGAAUAGGGUGAAGCCAGAGGAAACUCUGGUGGAGGCUCGCAGCGGUUCUGACGUGCAAAUCGAUCGUCAAAUUUGGGCAUAGGGGCGAAAGACUAAUCGAACCAUCUAG